UCCCAGUGCUGGAAUAUAGAAAAUGGAUGGACAACUUCUAGCUGGACCUACCAUGAAAGACUUCUGAAUCCAGGAAGAGAAACUGACUGGGCAACAUGUUAUUCAGAGAAACAGGACCUUGCCCUGUCACUCAGGAUGGAGUUCAGUGGUCCUAUCAUGGCUCAUUAUAGCCUCAAACUCCCAGGCUCAAGCAAUCCUACCAUGUCAGCC
rnacentral:lncRNA from 1 species